rnacentral:rRNA from 1 species
AACGAACGCUGGCGGCAUGCCUAACACAUGCAAGUCGAACGAGACCUUCGGGUCUAGUGGCGCACGGGUGCGUAACGCGUGGGAAUCUGCCCUUAGGUUCGGGAAUAAACUUCGGGAAACUGAAGCUAAUACCGGAUGAUGACGUAAGUCCAAAGAUUAUCGCCUAAGGAUGAGCCCGCGUUGGAUUAGCUAAGUUGGUGAGGUAAAGGCUCACCAAGGCGACGAUCCAUAGCUGGUCUGAGAGGAUGAUCAGCCACACUGGGACUGAGACACGGCCCAGACUCCUACGGGAGGCAGCAGUGGGGAAUAUUGGACAAUAGGGCGAAAGCCUGAUCCAGCAUGCCGCGUGUGUGAAGAAGGUACUUCGGAUUGUAAAGUCA